rnacentral:tRNA from 1 species
AGUAUUAUAUUUUAAUUAUAAAAUAUUAAAUUGCAAAUUUAAAGAUAGGAUAAUCUUUCUUAAUACUU